rnacentral:rRNA from 1 species
GCAUAUCAAUAAGCGGAGGAAAAGAAACCAACAGGGAUUGCCCUAGUAACGGCGAGUGAAGCGGCAACAGCUCAAAUUUGAAAUCUGGCGCAAGCCCGAGUUGUAAUUUGUAGAGGAUGCUUCAGGGCAGCGGCCGGUCUAAGUUCCUUGGAACAGGACGUCAUAGAGGGUGAGAAUCCCGUAUGCGACCGGUUGGCACCCGUCACGUAGCUCCUUCGACGAGUCGAGUUGUUUGGGAAUGCAGCUCUAAAUGGGAGGUAAAUUUCUUCUAAAGCUAAAUACCGGCCAGAGACCGAUAGCGCACAAGUAGAGUGAUCGAAAGAUGAAAAGCACUUUGGAAAGAGAGUUAAAAAGCACGUGAAAUUGUUGAAAGGGAAGCGCAUGCAACCAGACUUGUCGGCGGUGUUCCGCCGGUCUUUUGACCGGUCUACUCGCCGCCGGCAGGCCAGCAUCAUCUGGGCGCGCCGGACAAAGGCGCGGGGAAUGUAGCUCCUCGGAGUGUUAUAGCCCCGCGCACAAUACGGCGCCGCUCGGGUGAGGUCCGCGCUUCGGCUAGGAUGCUGGCGUAAUGGUUGUCUGCGGCCCGUCUUGAAACACGGACCAAGGAGUCUAACAUCUAUGCGAGUGUUCGGGUGUCAAACCCCUACGCGUAAUGAAAGUGAACGGAGGUGGGAAGCGCAAGCUGCACCAUCGACCGAUCCUGAUGUCUUCGGAUGGAUUUGAGUAAGAGCAUAGCUGUUGGGACCCGAAAGAUGGUGAACUAUGCCUGAAUAGGGUGAAGCCAGAGGAAACUCUGGUGGAGGCUCGCAGCGGUUCUGACGUGCAAAUCGAUCGUCAAAUUUGGGUAUAGGGGCGAAAGACUAAUCGAACCAUCUAGUAGCU